rnacentral:rRNA from 1 species
GAAUUUUAUAUAAAUAAAGUUAUUUAAAUAAGUUUGAUAAAUAAUUUUAGGUAUAUUUAAUUGGGAGGAUUGUUAAAUUAAAUAAACUUUAAUUAAAUUUAAAAUAUUAAUUAAUAGAUUUAAGAAUGGUUAAUAAAUUAAAUAAGAAUUAAUUACCUUAGGGAUAACAGCGUAAUAUUUUUAGAGAGUUCAUAUUAAUAAAAAUGUUUGC